rnacentral:lncRNA from 1 species
AUGAGAAGCCGGGAGAGAGCAGAGAGAGGCGUGGGUGCAGUGGGGCAGCCACAGCCGGGCGCCGGCACCUUUAGGAAGCUCUUGGGGUUGCGCGGUGUUCAGACACUAACGCGAGCGCGCAGCUCGACAUGGCGCCCCUACCCGGCCCCGGCGGAAGCCAGGCGAAGGCGCCCUUCCAUUUCUCUCGUGGGUAAAGCAGGGGAUUGCAUCUGGGGCUUUGUCCAGGCCUCCAGAGUUGAAGGAGUGGAGUCAGGCCCCGGCGCUUCGAAGGCCGGCUCAGCCCGAGGCGGUGCAGACCCGCUGAGGCGCGCGGAAGCGCCGCCAAGUUCCGGCCUCCGUGCGCUGUGCCGGGAGGUGGGCUCGGGCCCGACUUCUGCAGCUCCCUGCGCGGACCUCGGGCCUAGGGCUUGGGCGACCGGUCCCCGAGCGCAAGGGGAAGAUCCCGCAGAGCCAGGCGUGAGCCGCACGCAGCCCAAGCGCUCGCCAGGCUGCGUUCACUGCUCCCCGGCGCGCCGCUGCGGGGCUGAGGACGCGCAGAUUCACGCAGCCGCUCGGCGCCCCCUCCGUCCGCGGCGCGGUCCCUUGGGAGGCCAGGGGACUUUCAGGAAAAGGGGACUGGGUAGAGGUCGAAGGUGGAAGGGCCGCAGGCGCUGGGGCGGCUGUGUGCUCUCCUCAAACGCAGUUUGUACAAUGCGGUGUCUGAUGACCACGUUCCUUCCAGGCCCACUAAGCAGAUACGACUGGGCAGACUGCAAAGAUUUUACAAAUCCAAUGAAAGCUAUCCCGACCCCCGGCAGAGCCCGUCUGCGUGGAGCGACUCCUGCCUCCUGGGCUGGCCUCGGCCGGGUGGACUACCACCCCAAGCAGAGUCCCGAUGCCCCCGGGCCGCUGGGCAUCUCUGGAAUCCUGAGCCCCAGAGAGGCUGCGGCUGCAGUGGCCCCUACCGCUGCCAUGCUUGGAAGCGUGGGAGACUGCACCCACGCCCAGUCGAGGCUGGCAGCAAGAGGGGCCCUGGGUGCCGCCUGCCUAGGACCCUCUGAGCACCAGCUGGGGUCUGUGGCCGGGCUGCCCUCCCUGGGCUGGCAGACCCACAUUUUGUGGUGA